rnacentral:lncRNA from 1 species
AAUUCUCUACACCAAGAGAGGAGAAAGGCAUAGAGAGAAAGAGGAAGAAAGGCUGUUGAUUUCUUGAAAAGAAAAUUAGCAAAUCAGAUUGGAGAAAAUUUUUGAUCGAGAUUCGUGUGGAUCACCAUUGGAGGGCAUACGUGUGUGUGCCUCAAGGGAGACCAAUCAGCAAUCAAAUUAAAAUUUUCUGGAAAGUAUAUCAAUUUUUCUUGCUCCUUUUUUUGCAGUUUGUUUCAUGUUUGAUUGAAAUCAUCUAGGUGAUUUUGGGAUUGGGGUUUAAAUCUAAUAUUAUCAAGUGUUGAU